CUUUGUCCAUUUUUUUGCUUAGAUCUUCCUCCAACUAGAAGAAAGCCAACAACAACAAUAACAACAACAACAACAACAAAAGCACUCUUGAAAGUGAGUGAACUAUUCCAACACUUAAAUCAAAUAUCCCAGUGAAUUUGCUCCAUCUACGAUGCUGAUAACUCUUUAUGAAGACCGAAAAUGUUACCCAGAAGUUAAAUUAUAUGCUGCAUUGAAAAGGAAAUACUGUACCUCAGAGAGGCCGAGACAGGAAUUGGAUAGACAUGGAUUGUCUCCUUAUCCUGGAAGAUGCCUGUCUGUAUGAAAUCAUUACCUGGAUCCUUGUUGAGAGCACGGUCUCUAUCUGAUUUCUGGUACAUUACAGAUGAAGCUAUGGCUGGAAGUAAGCGCUAAGAGAGUAUGAGAGCUGACCGUUAACAUUUCCAACGUUUUAAUAAGGUUGAAGAAAUACGAUCAGAUGGUCCCUGAGCAGGAUGUGUUCAUUGAGGUAAGAUGUGUUGUGGGGUUACUCCUUCAUGAGUAAACAGAGUUAAUGAUAGCUCCUACUUGUAAAUAUAACAUUUGUGCAGCUCUUCUAACUUUAAAAAGCACGUUUACGACUGUCAUUCCAUUCAGUAGUCACAAUCCCUGUCAUUUUGUAACGUGUAAAGAUGACAAGCCUGAGGCAGGAGGGGUUAGGGCAUCUUUCCCAAGGACGUAUGGUGAUGUUAUGGCAUCCUUGGGACUGGGACUUUGACUCCUUGGCUGUAUUCCAAAUAUUGUCCCAUCUGCCCCUGCAUUAUGUCUCUCCCCACCUAAAUUCCUUGUUUAGCCUGGCAAGCUGGUUGUUAGAUAUGACUCAAAAUAUUUUUGAGAUUAGAUCUAUCACUGUUGUUAUUUGUAGAGUGGCUUGGCUGAAAGUGUAUCUGGAGUGUAGUUCAGGAAAUAAUCAAUCUUUGGCUCUAGUGCUCACAGGGCCUUUGAAUGUGCACCAUGCUCUUUUAAUUUCUGAAUUAACUCACUACUGGCCGUCCAAUCUAUGCUGGGCAUUCCCACAGUCGCCUCCAAAGAAAGCUGGCAGACCAGAGCCCCUGCUGAGAGGCGAGUUUCCAGGUCAUUCUUGUACUCUGUUUCAUUUGACCCAUGCCUCCUCCACCCUCCCCACUGGUCACAGUGGAUUGGCCUGGGCUGGACACUUGACCUAAGGAUAAACAACCUGUAGGUCAGAGACCUAUGAGGUAGCCUGACCCAAAAGCUCUGACUGAAGAGCAUCACUUAUGAUUAUUUAGGACAAACUGAUUCUCUUUUUUUGGUAAUUGCAACUGAGAAAUAGGAAGAGAAUCAGGCAUUGAUAGUGGGAGGAGAAUCAGGAAAGAAUUAAACUCUUGUUGCUUUAUCUGGCUCCUGCUGUUCUCUGCCUAAAAUACAGAGAGCUGAACUAGAUUCCCCGGAGGACAGGCCUGGCAAUCUGCAUCUGAAACGAGCCUCUCGGGUAUUUCUACCCUAUAGCAGUGCUUUCGAUAGAAAUAGAAUGCAAGCCACAAAUGCAAACCACGUAUGUAAUUUAAACUUUCUAGUUGUCAUAUCAAAAGGUAGAAACAAGUGAAAUGAAUUUUAAUAUUAUAUUUUAUAUAUCUGAGAUAUAUCAUGUCAUAAAUAUAAAUUUGUGCUUUUUUUUGGCCACGCCGCACUGCUUGCAGGAUCUUAGUUACCCCACCGGGGAUUGAACCCGGGCCCCAACAGUGAAAGUGCUGAGUCCUAACCACUGGACUGCUAGGGAAUUCCCUCAAUAUAAAUUAUUAUUAUUAUUAUUAUUAUUAAUUUAUUUAUUUAUUUUUGCGGUACGCGGGCCUCUCACUGUUGUGGCCUCUCCCGUUGCGGAGCACAGGCUCCGGACGCGCAGGCUCAGCGGACAUGGCUCACGGGCCCAGCCGCUCCGCGGCAUGUGGGACCUUACCAGACCGGGGCACGAACCCGUGUCCCCUGCAUCGGCAGGCGGACGCUCAACCACUGCGCCACCUGGGAAGCCCCAAUAUAAAUUAUUAAUGAGAUAUUUUACAUCCUUUAUUUUUGGUACUGUCUUUGAAAUCCAGUGUGUAUUUUUAUGCCCAUCUCAAUUUGGAUGAGCCAUGUUUAAAGUGCUCAGUAACCAUGGGGCUAGUGGGGAAGUCCCUGUAUGUACUUGGGCACCCAUUCAAGUACCUAAUUUUCUUGUAUACGAGGGUCCCGAAUCUUAAUCCAUUUAGUGUUUUGCCUGUCUUACACAUAAAUGUUGUGAUCAGGUUUUAUUCUAAGAAGUGUACCAGAGGGACUUCUCCGGUGGCGCAGUGGUUAAGAAUCCUCCUGCCAAUGCAGGCGACACAGGUUAGAGCCCUGGUAUGGGAAGAUCCUACAUGCAGCGGAGCAACCCACGAGACACAACUACUGAAGCCUGCGCGCCUAGAGCUUGUGCUCCGCAACAAGAGAUGUCCCCGCAGAGAAGCCGGCGCUCUGCAACGAAGAGUAGCCCCCGCUCGCCGCAACUAGAGAAAGCCCUCUCGCAGCAACGAGGAUCCAACGUAGCCCCCCCCCCAAAAAAAUAAAAGUGUACCAGAUAGAACUGAUGGUGACACAAGUUUCUAUCAAGUGGAUUUCUCCUCCAGGCAUUUGUAAAUACAAAUCUCUUUUCUUUAGACAGACAUAUCAGUCUAACUGAUCUUUUAAUUUAGGGGAUAAUCUCAUAGAGCCCGGGUAUUAUUUUGCUUAUUAAGUGUAAUUUCUUUAGCAGCUUAAAUAUUGUGAAUUUCUUUUUAAAUCAGUCACGCCAUUUAAUAGGAUUAUAGAUGCAUAAUUCAUCAGCAAAUAAAGAUGUAUUUUUUUGUACUUUAAAAAAAUUGUUGUAAGUGACUUUACUUUGCUAGUUUGUCCUCUUUUUGUUAUAUUGCUGAUAUUUCUCACGGGAACAUGCCUGCACACGAUCUGGUUUAAUCUUGUGUUUCAUGUAUCAAUUAAGAAUAUAAUUAGACAGAUCUGUGUUGGAAUGUGUUUGUCAGCAUUUUCCAGCAUGUUUCAAGGUGCGUGAGCGAAGCUGACAUGCAUUUCCAUAUGUUCUGCACAUGCAUUUCGUGUCGGGUGAUUAAUCAAGGCAUGGUACACACACCAGUGUGUUCUUGGCAGAUACUGAAUUCAUUGUUUGCUGUUGAAACUCAAGAGUAAAACCCAGGGCUACUUCUCUAACCAAAGAUUUGGCUUUUGGGUCCUAUUUUCUCUGGCAUUUUCCACAGCACUCCCCUUCCUACCUUGUUCAUUGCAGCCCAACACGUGGAUGUUUCAUGCUCCAAAAAUGACCAUUCCUAGAGAGUGAGGCCGGUUUAGGAUAUCAAUUAUAAACAGUUUCAGUGUAUUACAAAUACAAUGCAUGUUAUAUUGUUAUCAUUGCAGACCAUAAGCGCUAAACAAAACUAUCCAGGAAUAGUUCAAUUUUCUUUUCUCUACCCCUUUUUCAUCUGGAGGUCCCAACCUUUGAAGUUGUAGUUCUUAGGCUAAAACUGUGCACCCAUCCACUGGUCCCACUUGAGCCACAAUAUUGGCCUUUCUUUUCUGGUCCCUGAAAGAGAGAUCUUGGUUGGGUCCCAAGUACAUCUUCUUCACCAAUUUGACAGGUGUUCCCUUAGCUUCCCUUCCUGCCAUUGAAAUACUGAUUUUUCUAAACCUCCUUCCUCUACCUGAUGACAUUGGCCCUGCUGUCUUCUAGUAAGUGUCCUGGAGAGUCUAGUCUUAGUUAAUUUCCGCUUAUCUUAGUUUAUUCUAGACAAUUUAAUCCCUUUUACUUGCAUUCAUUCUUUCUUGGAUUUUAUCUUUUUGUCUUCUUUUUGUCUCUCUUUAAACAUUUUUAAAAGUUUAUUUUAUUGAAAUAUAGUUGAUUUACAGUGUUGUGUUAAUUUUUGCUGUACAGCAAACUGAUUCAGUUAUACAUAUAUAUACAUUCUUUUUCAUAUUCUUUUCCAUUAUGAUUUAUCACAGAAUAUUGAAUAGUUCCCUGUGCUAUACAGUAGGACCUUGUUGUUUAUCCAUUCUGUAUAUAAGAGUUUGCCUCUGCUAAUCCCAAACUUCCAAUCCAUCCCUCCCCCACCUCACCACCCUGGCAACCACAUGUCUGUUCUCUAUGUCUGUGAGUCUGUUUCUGUUUUGUAGCUAGGUUCAUUUAUGUCAUAUUUUAGAUUCCACAUAUAAGUGCUAGCAUAUGGUAUUUGUCGUUUUCUCUCUGACUCGCUUCACUUAGUAUGAUAAUCUCUAGGUCCACCCAUGUUGCUAAACAUUUUAAUUUUGUUAAUUUUUUUUUUUUUUUUUUUACCUAGUCCAUUCUCAUAGCUUCCUGCCCUGCACAGCAGUUUUUAGCAUCCUGGUUGAUAGUCCCCAUAGUUUCCUAAAGGCAUCGCUUAAUUCUGCUCAACUCUUCCCCUGAAUGCAGCUGUGAGUUUUCUUCUGUUCAGCCUGGUCUGUAUUUCUCUUGAUAGUACUCUGUAACUAUUACUUGACAGUUCAUAAUUCACAUGUGUUCAUUCAUUCAAGGACAUUUAAAAUUUUAAGUGAAACUUUUGAGGUAAUUGUAGAUUCAGCUGUAAGGAAGAGGACAGAGAAAUCCCACAUGCCCUUUACUGAGCACCUCCAAUAGUAACAUCUUAUGAACAAAGGGACAAAAUGACAACCAGGAUAUCGACACUGAUGCAGUCAAGAUACAGGACAUUUCCAUCGCCACAAGGCUCUCUCCUGUCGUCCAGGGCCUUUUCUGAGUGUUAGCUCUGGGCAGUGUGCUGGGCACCAGGAGGGGUGCAGAAAGGAAACAGAUACUGAUCCUGUUGAAACUGCUUCAAUUCAAGAUAGAAAGUGGGAAGUACCACAGAAAGGCACCUCUGAGGAGGGAGUAAUUACUUUCUGCUGAGGAGAUCAGAGAAGGCUUAUAAGGGCAAAUACAAAUGAAAAAUAAGAGGCUUAAUUCUCUUUACCGAAAAUAAGGGAAGAGACCCCCCCCCCCC